rnacentral:lncRNA from 1 species
GAGGUAGUAUCCUAUGGCUAAAGAAGCCCAUGAUAGAGAUGUUGCCAACGAUCUCAUACUCACUGGUGCUUCUGAGAAGCAGAAUUCGAGUAGUCCAGCUAGAACGAAAAGAUCGGCUGAUCCAAGAAACAAGUACUGAAACGCGAUCCAGAAGAAAGUUAGGGGCAAUGGCUUGGCCGAGUCGAGAAGGCCAGCUGAUCCAAGAAACAGGUACUGAAACGCGAUCCAGAAGAAAGUUAUGGGCAAUGGUUUGGCAGAUUCGAGGAGGCCUGAGUCAGUAACUACACUUUUGCGCUUGAUUUCAACAAGAGCUGCGAUUGCCAUGGCUAGAAUG